rnacentral:rRNA from 1 species
CCUACGGGAGGCAGCAGUGGGGAAUAUUGGGCAAUGGCCGAAAGGCUGACCCAGCAACGCCGCGUGGUGGGAGAAGCCCUUCGGGGUGUAAACACCUUUUCUGGGGGAAGAUAAUGACGGUACCCCAGGAAUAAGGGACGGCUAACUACGUGCCAGCAGCCGCGGUAAU